ACAGGUUUCAAGACGUUGCCGGUUUCACCUUUUUAAAUUACCUGCGAAACUUGCUCACGGGAUGUGCGGUACCUUUCUCUCCACCAAUAUUUCGUUAAUUUACUUCAUUUAUGGCAAGAGUUAAGACCAGAGCAAUGUUUUCUAAUUCUUCCCUUUUAUUACUUCACUUGCUUCUUUUACUCUACUUAAAUUGUGUUUGAAGGAUUCUAAAACUAAUUGAUCAAGUUCAAUUGAGGUUUCAAAAAAUACGUUCAGUGUUCCUCUUCUGUACAGAAGAGAUCGAUGUGAUAAGGAUUGAUAUGCAAAUGACUAGGAUUUCACUGUAGAAACUGAGACACACUGUGGUUUUUAUUUAAUACCCACUUAACCUUAACUUUUAUUCAUCUUUAAGUCUAUUAUGCGUCACUUUAGAACUGUAUUAACAAAAUAUCCACAUACACUAACUUGAAUUUGAAAUGUUUUUGCAGGUAUUUUCUUUUCGAGACCGAAAUCCUGAAAACAAGAUUAAGAAAUCCAAGUCUAUUAUAUAGUCAAUUCUACUCCAAGUAGUGUGUUCCUUGUUUCAAUAGUCUCACUAGGAAGGUAAAAUCCUAUAGAAGGGAUACCACUUACGUAAACAUGAGAGUUAUGUAGGAAUAAGUAGUGAUUUAUUACUAAGUUUUUGUCAGUUAAGUAAUUUUAAUUAUAAAUUUUAAGGUUUGUGUUAUUCUUGUGUGAGGUGGUGCAUGAGAUAUGUAUAAAGUGAUCUCAAUGUAAGACAUCAAGGUACAAUUAUCUAAUCUCAGUGUUAAUUAGUCAAAGUAAGUGGUGACCUAUGUACGAAUAAGUGGUGAUCGGCUACCAACUUUCUGCACAAAGAAGUAAUUUUAUAAAUUUUGAACUUUGUAUUAUUCUUGGGUGGGGCGGUACAGUGCAAGAGAUGUGUGUAAAGUCACUCUAGUGGAGAACACGAUGGUAAGUCCUUUAAUGACACUGUUCAUGUAGUUAGUCAUAGCUACAUUAAAUGGUGACCUGUGUAGUGUUGACCUAUUACAAAGUUCUUAUAUAGUAAAAUAAUUUUAGAAAUUUUAAACUUUGUUUUGUUCUUGGACAGUGCAUGACGUGUGUGUAAAGUGACUUUAGUGAGGACAAUGCCAAGUUCUUUAAUCUUAACGUCAAUGUAGUUAGUCACAAUAAGUGGUGAUCUGUGUAGGAAUAAAUGGUGACCUGUUAUCAUUUUUGUGCAUAGUGAUGUAAUUUUGAGCUUUGUUUUGUUUUUGGGUGGGGUGAUGCAUGAGAUGUGUGUAAAGUGACCUCAAUGGAGGACACCAAGAUCAAAUUCUUUAAUAUCAAUGUGAAUGUAGUUAGUCCCAGUAAGUAGUGACCUGUUACCGAGUUUCUGCACACUAAUCAAACUUUUGAAAAUAUGAGGUUACUGAUGUUCUUGGGUGAGGUGAUGCAUGAAGUGUGUGUAAAGUAACCUCAGUGAAGUACACCAAGGCCAAGUUCAAUGGUGAGCUAGUACCAAGUUUUUGCAUAAUGAAGUAAUUUUAGAAAUUUAAAGCUUUGUGUUGUUCUUGGAUAGGGUGGUGCAUGAGGUGUUUGUAAAGUGACCUCAGUGGAGGACAUUGAGGAAAAAAUCUCUAAUCUCAGUAUCAAUGUAGUUAGUCACAGUAAGUGGUGACUUGUGUAGGAAUAAGUGGUGACCUGCUAUCAACUUUCUGCACACUGAACAAAUUUUUGACAUUUGGAGCUUACUGUUGUUGUUUGGUGUGGUGGUGCAUGAUGUAUGUGUGAAGUAACCCUAGUGGAGGACACCAAGGUGAAUUUCUCUAAUGUCACUAUUAUCAGUGUACAAUUAUCAUAGUGGGCUAGCCGAACUUGUAGUUGUGUACAAUAUUUAUAAUUUAUGAUUUAGGUUGAACAAUUUUAUUAGUUAGUGGGUCUAUGUUACCAAUGUUACAUUGUUCAAAAUGUUUAAAGUAAUCAAUUUCAUUUUUCAUGUGAUAAAUAAAUUUCACGUGUGAUAAACAAACUCAUUUCACCUUAUUCAUCAUCCUCCAUGACCACUGUGCAAAAACUUAGACCAGGUCACCACUUCCUAAACCAUAGAAAAAUGACCAAUAUAUUAACCUCAACCAUACUCGAGUCCAAUUGUCCAGUACUUCAAUAAACAAAAUCUUUCAUACUAAAUUUAAUCACAAUGCAUUUAAGCAUACAAAAAAUAAUUUUGAAUAAAAUUAUAAAAAUGAUGUCAAUAAAGUCCAAUUCAAAAAUAUGCUUACGAUAAAUAUUAAUUUAUUCAAAAAUAUAUUUGACUAGACUAAAUUGAAAUUGUAAGAAUAUGAAGAUAAAUAGAUAAUACUAAGUUGAAAAAAUAUUACUAUAAUUACUAUUAAUUUAUUAAUAUUAUUGUUAUUAUUGUAAUUACUACUAAUAUUAUUGUAAUUAUUAUUAUUAAUACUAUUAUUGUAAUUAUUAUUAAUAUAGUAUUAUUAUUAUUAAUAUUUAUUGUUAUUAUUAUUAAUUUUAGUAAUAAUAUUAAUAAAAAUAAUAAUAUUAUUAAUAAUAAUAAUAAAAAUAAACCUUAGAAUGCACAAAAAUUUUCAAAUACAAAUAAAAGCUAAAAAAACCCAAAAAUGAAAACUACACAAACAAAAACAGUAAAUCCACAAACUAUUAAAAUAUUAGUAUUUUUUUAGAAAAUUGUAUGGUGGCGCACGUUGUAAAAAUAUCGGCAGCCUAUUUUUUUUUCAAACCAAAAGAUGCAGACAUCACUUUGUCUUCUUUCUUCAGACACCUAAAUGCAAGGUAGAUAACUCUCGUGACAAUCUCACUUUUAUAUUUUUUUUUAUAUUCAAAUUUAGUAUUUAUCCUAAUAUUAUUCCUCUCCAAUACUGAAAAGUUCACGGGAAAACAAAUAUACCCCAAACAGAUUAAAAUCAUUUCAAAAUUUUAAUUUACCAAUAACAAUAAAUAUCCACAAAAGUUUAACAUUUCCUUCUAUUUUUAAAAUUUAAAAGUAUUUUAAGUUUCCUCACAACCAAAUUAUAUUCAACCCUUACAUAAUUUAAUAACUCUUUCCUUUCACACAUCAUUUAAAAAUGAUUUUAUUUGUAAUUAAAUUUUUCUAAACAGUUUUUAACUUAAAUUUUUAAAAUUAAUAUUAUUUUAUUUUUACUUUCUUCUUAUCCACUCACUCUCUAUAAUACAAAUAAAAUAAUAAUAACCUCAUCUCUCAAUCGAUUCUGAUAGCUUUCGACACUAAAAUAGGGAAAAAAUAUUUUUAAUUAAAUAUUCAAAACAUUUCUUACUUACAAACUGUUUUUUUAAUUUAUUUUAUUCUAUUUUUCCUUUCUUGUUGUACACUCUUGGUUCUUUAGGAGCCAAAUAAAAACAGAAUCUUCUCUAAAAGUUAAUUAGCAAGGGUUUUUGGUUAGCCGUGAUGGUGGCAAAGAAAGACAACCGCUGCGAGAAGUUUGCAUUCCAAAAGUCCUUCAAUAACCUCCGAUCACAGGAUUUCACCAAGAUCAUGAUUAGCGGUCCAAGAAUUGAAACUUCCUUCAUUAACAGUGGUUCAGGCUCCCAAAAUUUGAAGGGCCUCAAGAUUCAAUGCGAUGACAAAUCUCUUUGGGACAGUAGUUUUGAAGACGUUGCCCGCUCUGGGAUGGAUACACUUUUCAACUACAACGAAAACGGAUCCCAGACUUUCCCUGGUUCCACCGUUUUCAAGUACCUGCAACAAACCUUGGCCAACAAGAUGGGAGGUACGUACCCUAUAUAUUCAUUUCGCUGAUUUACUUCAUUUAUGGCAAGAGUUAAGACCAGAACAAUGUUUUUCUUCUUCACUUGCUUCCAAUUUAUAUUCUCUUUCUUAUUCAUAAUCUGGCAGAAAGGAAAAUCGAAAUCCAGAAUCCAGUUGCCAUAUUGACUAAGCUAUUAAGCAGCAUGGCAUAUGGAAGCAACGACGAGUCCCUUCCCAACAAUCCAAGCCCCACUCCAAAUCUCCUCCGCCACUUGUCUAGAAUCGUUCAGUCCUUCAACAACUCUGAAGAAGGGAAACAAGAUUUCAGCCACGCCUAGAUCAAGAGAACUGCAACUGGAGAUUCCUUCAACAACCUCGGAUCAGGCUCCCAAACUUUCAGAGAGGCCGAGAUUCGUUGUGGUGAGGAAUCCAGAAAACCGAGUAGAUCUACUUUGCCCCGGAAAGGAGACCAUCUCCACUCCUUCAAUAAUAAGGGAUCCCAGUGUUUCAACGGUUUCAAACACAACUGACCACUUACCAGCUUUCUCAUCUAUCCAUUUCUCUCUGCUCUAUAGCUUUUAUGAUUUCCGGACUUUUGCUUCAAACAUAAUUAGGUUUUUUCACAAAAUCACAUAUAGAUGCUGAAAUUAUUUUUGUGAUAAUAUCUUACCUCAAUGUAAUUAAUCGUAUAGAUAAACUGUACAUAGAUAUUCCUUUUGAGAUUCAUUGUAACUAUUAGUGUCGGAAUUGAAAUUGUUUUAGAGAAGAGAUCCCAAUCAAAGUGAGAUUGAAAUUGUUUUUGAGAAGAGAUCCAAAUUAAAGUUUGGUAAGAUUGUUAAGUAGCUAUGCAUUGGUUCAAGUCGGAUCUUAGAAGUUAUAUGAUUCUUGAAUUAUCAGGUGUAAUAUGUUCCUUUCUGAUUCUUGUAAUUGUUCUUUUCUAAACUUGUAAAAAGUGUGUAAAGUUGUAAGGUCAGAGGGUGUUCUGAUUAAGGUUGGGUGAAAGGCAAAGAGGGUAAGUGUUCUUGUGGUUUCAAGAACACCUCUUUAUGACUUUGAGUGUGUGUAAUAUGUAAUUGAUUGCUAGUGGAAACCCAGAGUGGUUGUUCUGGAGACUAGAUGUAGUUCAGAGUUGAGUGAACCAGUAUAAAUUGGCUGUGUAAUCUCUCUCUCACUCCUUAUAAACUGUUUGAUUUGAUUAUUGUUGUUGUCAUAAACAACCGGUUAAAACGAAGUUUAAAUCGAUUGAUAUUCUACAAAUCGUUUCAAUUACCUUGUUUGAUUGUUGUUAAAACUUCAUUCUUAUCCAAUCUUUUUGAAAAUCUUUUGACAAACAAUUCAUCCUUUCUUGUUUAGGCCAUUAAUUCUAACAAUUGGCAUCAAAAGUUAAGUUCUUGAAAAAUAUUCAAGUUGUGUUUUUUUUUUAACUGCUUUAAUGGCUAGCAAGUUUUCUUUUCGGGAAGGUGAUUCUUUAAAUAGACCACCUCUGUUUUGUGGUGAAAACUAUUAUCUAUGGUGUAUAAGAAUGAAAUUUUUUGUUGACUCGUUAUAUAGAAAAAUUUGGGAUGUCAUUACAAAUAAUGUUUUUAUGCAUCUGCUUAAAAUAAUGUUGUCUUAUUUGAAAAUGAAAUAGAUCAUCUUGAUUGUGUAGCUAAGAACAUCAUUAUUUCUGCCCUUGAUUCUAAUGAACUUCUUAAAGUUUUAGAGUGUAUCUCAACUAAAAAAAUGUGAGAUACUCUUGAGAGAAUUGAGAGAAUUCACAAAGGGUCAAGAAAAGCUAAAGAAAUGUGAGAUACUAUUGAGAGAAUUCACAAAGGUGCAAGAAGUACUUGGCUGGACACCAUCCACAUCACUACUUGUAACAUACUAAUGAAAAACAUGAACCCAUUAUGCUGCCCAUGACUUUUAGUCUAUGCUGCCCAUAACUUUUACUCUAUACAACCCAUAUUUAAUUUAUACAUCCCCCACAUAACUAUACGUAACAUUUUCUUGAAAAACAUGGACCCAUUAUGCUGCCUAAGUCUUUUACUCUAUGCAGCCCCUAUUUGUUUUCUUCACCUACCAGUUCACUAUUUGCAACAUAUUAAUGAAAAACAUGGGCUCAUUCUACCGCCCAUCACUUUUACUCUAUGUAGCCCUUGUUUAAUUUAUACACCCCAACAUCACUAUUUGUAUCAUUUUCUUGAAAAGCAUGGGUCCAUUCUGUUGCACAUGAGUUUUACUCUAUGCAACCCCUAUUUCUUUUCUACACCCACCAGUUCACUAUUUGCAACAUAUUAAUGAAAAACGUGUGUCCAUCUGCCCAUCUUUUUUACUUUAUGCAACCCCUAUUUAAUUUAUACACCCCACACCACUAUUUGAAUCAUUUUCUUGAAAAACUUGGUCCAAUCUGCUGCCCAUGACUUUUACUCUCUGCAACACCUAUUUAUUUUCUACACCCACCACCUUACCACCUUUUUUUUUUUUUGAAAUUAUUAUAUAUAUAUAUAAUAAAUAUUUUAAACACAAUGAAAAAAAGAAAAAACUUCUAAAUGUAUAAUGUACUUAAUUAUUACAACAUAACCAAUAGAAAAAAUAAAAAAAAGUUCUAAAUCAUGUAGUUAUAUUACAAGAUAAUCAAUGAAAAAUAAUAAUUAAAAACACACUUUCUUAAACCAUUCUUUAAAUGGUAAUAAGUUUCUUUCCUUCCCAAUUAUCACUUUUUUUUAUUAAUUAUCUUUCCUUUUAUUCUCAUUUUCAUUUCUUGUUAUAAGAAAACUUUAACCUUCACAUCCUAUUAAAUCAGUUUUAAUUAAAUUGAAAUGAUAAAUCCAAUUAAAUUGUCAAAUUAAAAUGAUAAAUUCUAUUAAAUCAAUUUUAGUAAAAUUGAAAUGAGCGUAUAAUUUUGUACAUGCACAAUAGCUUUCUUCUUUUCCAUUUUCAUAUACAUAAAGCUUUCAAGAUGUUCUAUUACAAUUUCUGAUUUUUUUAACUUCAAAACAAAAUUAUGUUUGUAGUAAAAUGAUUCAGAUAAAAAUAGUAAUCACAAAAAUAAAUAAAUCAAAAACUCAUAAAUUUUAAAAGUUUACAUCAAAAGAAUCAUGUUGGAGCAACGACGGUGAAGACACUAGCAGUUGGACGUGGUGGAGUAGGAGGUGGAGCUAGACAUGGUGUAGUAGCCGCGAUGAAGGCAAGUUGGAGCUAAAAUGAAGAACAACAAAAAAGGUUAAGAAAAAUAAUAAUAUACAGAGAAGAGAAGAGAAAAUGAGAAAGAAGAGACAAUCAACGGUGACAGAGGCGGGACUGGGCAGCGGAGGGCAUUGGAAGGCGGCAGUGGAGGUAGUGGACCACGAAGGACUUCGAGUUGAAAUGGAGAAGAAGAACAAAAUGUUAACAAAAAUAAUAGAAGAGAAGAGAACCGGAGAAGAAAGAACAACCCGACGGUGAAGAAUGUUGGGCAGUGACGGCAAGACAGAGGAUGGUAGUGCAAGGCGGGGGUAGCGAAAUGUGAACAGUGAGGAGAAGAAUUAGGAAACUAAGGGCGGAGCAACGAAAUGUGCUAUUUAUAUAGCACAUGGUAUACAUUGGCCACGUCCGGCGCAUAGAUGGAAGUGAAUUUUGCGUCGGCUAGCCGAUGCUAACCCCUUACGUAUAUAAAUUUUUUUUAAAUUCAAAAUAUAAUUAACAAAUAUUACAUAUACAAUUUUAUUUUUAUAAAUUAUUUCAAAAAUACAUAAAUCACUAAAUUUAAUAGAUAUUUAAUUCACCAUUUUCAUAAUAUUUUCAAAAUUUAAUUAAAUCUUAAUAAACUCAAAUAAAGAUUAUUUUUCCGAAAAAAUAACUCUUGAGGUGCGAUAUUGAAAAAAAAAGAUAAACAAUUCCACCAAAUUAAAUAUAACGAAUUAAAUAUAAAUGUACGUGUGAUAGCAUAUACUAUAUCAGAAAUAUUAAUGAACUCUAUUAUUAAAAUUGCUCAAGAUAUCUUUUUUUAACCUUUACAAUCUAUUUCUUAGUUUAACUCUUACCUUACUAACGUAAUAAAAAAAAUUAGUAAAUAGGUUCCACCCAAAAUGACAAUGGACUAGAGUUAUGAACUUAUAAUAUAAAAUCUGAAGAUCAAGUCCAUUCUAUAAUUCUAAGUUCAUUUUAUAGCGGACCCAAUCUAAAUAAGAUUAUAUAUGUUAUAUUUAUUAUUAUUAAGUUAAUUUUUUAUUUAUUUAUUUUAUUAAGAUUUUUUUUUAUUAAGAGUGUCAUAGAAAUGCUUUGAAACAAUAUGACAUCAUGAAAUCUUCUUUCUUCAUAAAUGCAAGGUAGAUAACUAUCAUGAUAAUCUCAUUUUUAUAUUUUUUUUAUAUUCAAAUUUAGUAUUUAUCCUAAUAUUAUUCCUCUCCAAUACUGAAAAACUCACGGGAAAACAAAUAUACACCCAAAGAGAUUAAAAUCAUUUCAAAAUUUUAAUUUACCAAUAACAAUAAAUAUCAACAAAAGCUUAAUAUUUCCUUCUAUUUUAAAAUUUAAAAAUAUUUUAAUUUUCCACACAACCAAAUUAUAUUCAACCGUUACACAAUUUAAUAACUUUUUUCCUUUCCCAAAUCACUUAAAAAUUAUUUUAUUUGUAAUGAAUUUUUUCUAAACAAUUUUUAAAAUUAAUAUUAUUUUAUUUUUACUUUCUUCUGCCCCACUCAAUAAAAAGAAGAAACCUCAUUUGUGAAUCGAUUCUGAUAGUUUUAGACACUAAAAUUAGGAAAAAUUAUUUUUAAUUAAAUAUUUAAAACAUAUUUUACUUACAAACUCUUUUUUUAAUUUAUUUUAUUCUAUUUCUCCUUUCUUGUUCCUCACUCUUGGUUCUUACGGAGCAAUAAAAAACCAGAACCUCCUCUAAGAGCUAGGAAGGCUUUGGUUCGCCGUCAUGGCAAAGAAAGACUACGGCAGCGACAAGUUUGCAACCCAAAAGUCCUUCAAUAACUACCAAGACGGAUCACAGGAUUUCACCAAGGUCGUGAUUACGAGUCGAAGAAUUGAAGCUUCCUUCAACAACAAGGGAUCAGGCUUCCAAAAUUUGAAGGGCCUCAAGAUUCAAUGUGAUGACAAAUCUAUUUGGGACAGUUUUCAAGAAGUUGCCCUCUUUGGGAUGGAUAAACUUUUCAACUACGACCAAAACGGAUCCCAGACUUUCCUUGGUUUCACCUUUUUAAAGUACCUGCAAACCUCCUCUGCCAACAGGAUGGGAGGCACGUACCCUAUAUAUUCAUUUCUCUCCACCAAUAUUUCGUUAAUUUACUUCAUUUAUGGCAAGAGUUAAGACCAGAGCAAUGUUUUUCUUCUUCUUUUUUAUUACUUCACUUGCUUCUUUUACUCUACUUAAAUUGUGUUUGAAGGAUUCGUCCAAACCUAUUUGAUCAAGUUCAAUUUAGGUUUCAAAAAAUCCGUUCAACGUGUUCCUCUUCUGUAUGGAAGAGAUCGAUGUGAUAAGGAUUGAUAUGCAGAUGAGUAGGAUUUCAUUGUAGAAACUGUGUGCUUUUGAUUUAAUACCCACUUAACCCUAACUUUUAUUCAUCUUUAAUCUAUUAUCUGUCACUUUAGAACUGUAUUAACAAAAAAUCCACAUACGCUAACUUGAAUUAGAAAUAUUUUUGCAGGUAUGGACCCAAACCCAAACCCUGAAACCAAGACUAAGAAAACCAAGACUAAGAAAUCCAAGACCUGAUGUGCGAUUAUAUUAAUUAUAUAUUAUAAUCUUCUGCAUUACUGUGUAUGUAUGCCAUCACAACCUCAGUCCUCCUGUUUCUUUCUGUGUUGCUUUGUUCAUUGCAGCUGCAAUAAGGAAUGUACAUGGAGGCCUAGUACUACCUAGGGAUUUUCCCCAUUUUCGUUUGUUUUUUUGUCUUUGUUUUAUUCCCUCAUUGAACUUUCUUUUUAAGGAGUUAUUCUCGUGGGUGUGGCUUUGUUUUAUAUCGUCAUUGAACUUUCAGUUUACAGUAUUACAGCAUGGAAGACCUGUUACAGAAUUUUAAAAUAUGGUAAAAGGUAACUUGAAGAUGAAGUUCCAUGAAUGCACAAGUAUUAACGGUUUCUGAAUUUAAAAAUAGAGUUCAAACACCACUACUUUAUAUUCUUCAAUGGGACUAUUUUUUGUAUUUUCAAGCCAUAAAAGCAGCACGUGAAAUUAUAUAGAGAGAAUUUUAAAAAAUAGUUUUUAUUUAUUAUUAAAAAAACACAUAUAUUCUUAGUAGAUGCGCAUAUGCUGAGAAUCUAUUCAAGAUUCGGGACCCACAAAAUACCAUGCUUUAUAGAUGCGCAUGCACCUCAUCCAAGUGAUUUUUCCGCCACUUCCACAAGAGGAUUCCGGGAGUGUGUUUGUUAAAUUUAUUUUUUAUGAAGUAAGAAAGUUAAUUUUAGAGUCAUGAUAUAUCGACGUCUCAUAAUAAUAAUAAUGUUAUAAACGUGAGAAUAUCACAAUAGAGUGAGAUUGCGUUUGGUGAGGUGACAAAUCCAAAAUAGGAUAGUAACACAAAUGAAUAGUGAGAUGUGACCUUCAAAAUAUGAUAAAAAAGAAUAUAUUACACUGGUUCUUAGUAACAAUCGGUGUAAUAUAUUAUUUCUUUUACUCAUAAUGACACAUAUUACACCGGUUAAGCUGUCUAACCAGUGUAAUAUAUGGCGCAUAUUAAAAAAAAAUUUGAACUUUUUUUCAUGAAGAGUUGGUGGCCAUAAACGUCAUAUAAGUAACCACUUACAGACAAAUGGGUAACAAGUUUUGCGUGUACCAGUACAUGUGGAGGAACCUGUGGCUGGGAAACCAGUUCUGGUAAGUGGGUGUCCAGUUCUGCCAUGAGUGUAAUAUAUGACCCAUAUUACACCGGUUAAGUCAUCAAACUGAUGUAAUAUAUGACCCAUAUUACAUCGGUUAAGUCAUGUAACUGGUGUAAUAUAAGACUCAAUGAUGCCGAACACUUGAAAAGCAAACAAAGAAGCAGCGACGAACGCAAAAGAAAGACAUUUAUGGUUUGUGUUUCACUUGUUCUACUGUUUGGUCCGUGCUUCCUGCUGCUUCUUUCUCCAUCCUCCGACGAGGUCGUUGCUUCUUUCUCCAUCCUUUGACGAGGUCGUUGCUUCUUUCUCCAUUUCGUUUGACCUUCCCUUUCAUUUGAAAAUCUCCCGCUUCCGCACGCACACUCAAACGUUAAACCCUUACACUUUUACAAAACUGUCACAUCACUCCCAUCAGAAUUACAAAAAAUUCCAAUACCACAUCUACGGUAUCAAAUUUGUGUUAGUGGACAAAGGGUGUUAACCCAAAACAUUUUCGUUAAUUUUAUAUACAACAUAUAUCUAAAAGCUUUUCAUUACUAUAUAUAUAAAACAUACAAGAACAUUCACGAUGAUAUUUAAUAAAUAUUUCUAUCAAAUUAGCUAAAGAAUUUCAAUUAACACAGCUAAAUAGCUUUUAACUGAAGGCCUUAAAGGUCAAAAGAAACAAGUUGGGAUUUUGGAGGAGGCCUAAUACAAUGCUCUUAAUGAUGAUGCUUGUUCUAUUUCUAGAUAGUAUUUAAUCUAUGCAUUUUGUAGAAAAUGACCUUUCAUUCUGUUGUUUACCUUUUGGAUAUUUGAACAAUGAUGCUUACUUUUUGUGUCUUUUUUCUCCGUGUGGGGUAGUAUAAGUAAACAACAAAUAGAUAACGGUCCAAUUUCUAUCUCUUCUGGUAAAAAAGGGAGGCUACAUUUUGUAAUAAUCUUUUUUCAUAGUAGCAUACGACAUAGGGGUGAGGUUAGAUACUUGGAUCAAAUAUUCAUUCAUAAUCUUAUUUCUUGAUCAAGAUAAUUCAAAAAUAAAAGUAAUCAAAUAUAAGGAUAAUUGCAUAAAAAUGUAAGAAUCAAAUACUUAGUUAGUGUAAAUAGAUCGAAUAAAAUACAUAGAGUUUAAAUUUAUUUACUCUCGCUUCUAUUUGUGCAACAUUUUAGGUUUAUGGGUGAAAUGGGUUAGGAAGGAAAGUGAAAAAGAAGGUAAAAGCAUCUCAAGAAAGUUAUUAAAAUUUGAAAUUGUGGAAAUCCCUACACUCUAUGUAUCACCACUAACUUCAUUAAUCUAUAUUUUUUUAUUCUAUAUGAUCGCAAUGCGAUUUUAGUUUCAAGUUUCAUUAGGUUAAAACCUAUAAUCUCACUUGAUUGAUCGUUCUUAUCCCUGAUUUCUUUCCUUUCACUUCACAUUCUAACGAAAUUAAAGUCACCACAGAUACACCAAACCGGAUCUUGAGAUGCCAAUUUAACUUUUUGACAGCUCCUCCCGAAGGAUCUUCUUGUCUCUCAAAGUGCAGGCAGCAUAGACAUUUACCACUACACAUCUGAGGUUGGAUUUAUGAUGAUUACUGAAAAUAGCAAUGAACCCUUUCCCCAUCACGUGACUAUCGUAGCUAAAAGAGUCUUCAUGCCACAUAGACAACAAGCUUUCGCUUCCAUUGACACCUUCGUAAUGUAGCCAACCAACUUUGUUGUUCCCCCACAGAGAAAAACAUUUUGCUUCCGUGAUCACCUUAGAUUUUGUCUCUUGCAAACAUACAAAUUUCGCCCCUUCACAAGCUAUGAUAUGUCUCAAGUACCUAGAUUUGAUACUCCCCCCCACACCUCUAAUAUUCAAAUUCACAACUAACAUUAGGAAACAUUCUUAACUCCCACCUUAGAGCCCAAAGCAACCUUUGAAUCACGGUCUUCCAUACGCCCAUAUUCCUUAACGACUUCCUCUUCUUCCCCACGACAAGUUAUCCCAACUUGCUUUCCAGCUACCCACAAACUAGAAGGUUCCGCUAGGUUAACAAAUGCACAAAGACGAGAGUUACAGAUUUUAAUAUCCCUGUCUGACAUAGAGACUGAGGACAAACCGUCUUUGUGGUGCUCCAAAGACCCUGCUUGGGGUAGUAUGAGACUUAAUCUUACAGACCGCCUUGGAUGGGGACAAGAGUCCCCCAAUUCAGAGAGCCCUUUCUUCUUGCGUCGACGUGGUGGAGAAUUGGACCUACUUUUCUCAUUUGCUCCGUCCACACCUAACAAAAGGGGAGACAACUCACCUGAUGACACUAACCCUACAUCACCGUCAUCAACACUGACUCCUUGCACUACAUAGUGGUUGAGCGGCCCUUUACCCUCCCUCUCCUUAGAAGACAUGCCGCCCUCUAGCACCUGAAAUCCUGAGGUUCUUCUUUCAAGGAUUGCCUUUCGGGCUUCUUUGCUUACACUCACCUCCGAUCCUUCUAAAGGGUUUUCUCUCCCAUAACCAACAUUACCUUUUGUACCCCCUUCGCCGAAAACCUCUUGCGUUGAUUGGCGCACAUACCCAACAUUUCCUUCAUCCUCCUGGGCUGAGGCAUAGGGCCCACCCUCACAGAAACGGGCCUCCAUUUUGCUAACUCGGCCCAAAGCCUCAGAGGUUACCUUUUGGUUAAUAAAACACUCAAUGUCUACAACAACUUUAGCCACCUCAGAUUGUGUAGGGUUGCUAUAACGGGCACCUUCACAAACUUGGUCAGAGAAUUUGACAGGGUCAAUACCAUCUUGUUCCUUAUGUCCCUUUCUUACUUCUUUCGUGACAGAUAUCCUACCUUUCCCCUGAUAGCCAUUGCUUUUCGAGGAAGAUCCCAUUCAUAAAUGUGUCUUCAAAAAUUGGUUUUUAAGAAUCCGAGCAGUGAUUUACAAAAGUUCUCUAAACUCGUAAUUUAGCAACAAAAACUAUAGUUUAUCAUUACUUUUCAAGUUAAAAUCAAUGUAUGUGAUUUUGUUUUUCAUUCCAAUGUAUGUGAUCACUUUCAAAUGGAUUGGAGGGAAAAUAAUGAAGCAAACGGUUAGGUGACGUACUAAUUUUACUAUAUGUAUUACAAAAUAGAAUAAAGAUGAACAAAAGAGAACAGAGAUGAACAAAAGAGUAAACUGAAGACAAAGGAUAUGAGAAUGAAUAUCUCUUUUUUCUUGUUAUUCAAAUCAAAACAAAUGGUCUGAAUAUAUACAAGUAGUACACUCAUUCUAGGUUUAACUAAAGAGGAAAAGAAUCAAUAAUUAAAUAAUAGAAUCAUAACACAUAAGACAAAAUAAAGGUUAUUCACCUCUAUAAAGAGAAACAUCUGAUAAUUAGAAAAGACACCAAAUUAUUAUUCUCUAUAAAGAGAAACAACUGAUAAUUAGAAAAGACACCCAAUUAAUAUUAGGAUCCUUCUAUAACUCUGGUAUCCGUAUCCUUUAAUACCCCGCCACAAGCUGGGGAGCAAAUAUUGAUGAGACCUAGCUUGGAACAAAUAUUCUUAAAAGAUUGAGGACUUAAAGCUUUGGUAUAAAUAUCAGCUAGUUGCUCUGUGGUGGAAAUGGGAAGCAAAUGGAUGAGACCCUUCUUUAAUUUUUCCCGGACCACGUGACAAUCUAUUUCUAUAUGUUUUGUACGCUUGUGAAAAACUGGAUUUGCUGCAAUGUAUCUUGCUGAGUCAUUGUCACAGUAUAAAAGAGAUGGUUGCUCAAAAGGAACUUUGAAAUCUUGAAGAAGAUAAGUUAGCCAUUGAAUUUCACAUGUAACAGUGGCCAUUGCCCUGUAUUCAGCUUCACAAGAACUCUUUGAUACUGUUCCUUGCUUCUUUGACUUCCAAGAUAUGAGAGAAUUUCCAAGAUACACACUAAAACCAGUUACUGAUUGUCUUGAAUCACUACAGGUGCCCCAAUCACUAUCACAAAAGGCUUUCAGAUGAACAGAGGUAGUGGAAGAGAAAAAUAGACCAAGACUUGGAGCCCCUUUGAUAUAUCUGAGAAUUCUAAUCGCUGCAUUAUAGUGAGCAAUUGUAGGCUUAGCAAGAAAUUGAGAAAGUUGUUGCACAGAAAAUGUUAUGUCAGGUUGGGUAUUAGUGAGAUACAUAAGUCUUCCAAUCAAUCUUCUGUAGGCUUGAAUAUCUGUGAAAGGAACACUUUCAGUAGAAGAGAAUUUCUCAUGAUUAUCAAUAGGAGUGGGUGCAGGUUUGCAGGCUAAAAGACCUGCAUCUGUUAAUAAUUUCAAUGCAUAUUUCCUUUGAUUUACCAUUAUUCCUGUCUUACUUCUUGCUACUUCUAGACCAAGAAAAUAUCUUAAAUUCCCAAGAUCUUUAAUCUUGAAUGUUUGAUUCAAGGCUUGUUUGAUUCGAGCAAUCUCUUCUUUAUCAUUUCCUGUCAAUAUUAUAUCAUCCACAUAUACCAAUAAUGCUGUAAAAGAUCCUUCAGAAGAAUUAAUGAACAAGGAAUGAUCAUUCAUAGAUUGAGUAUAUCCCAUAGAAAGCAAAAAUGAUGACAGUUUGGCAAACCAUUCUCUGCUAGCUUGCUUAAGACCAUAUAAAGCCUUUUUUUAGUUUACAAACUUUUCCUGGUGGAAUAGAAGUCAAUCCAGGAGGAACAACCAUGUAUACAUCUUCUUUCAAAUCUCCAUGUAAAAAGGCAUUGUUUAUGUCUAAUUGUUUCAAUUCCCAAUUAUAAAUAGAAGCUAAAGAAAGAAGCAACCUUAUGGUGGUCAUCUUUGCUACUGGAGAGAAAGUAUCAAGGUAGUCAAUGCCUUCUGUUUGUGUAUAUCCCUUUGCCACUAACCUUGCUAUAUACCUUUCAAUUGUCCCAUCAGCCUUAUAUUUUAUUUUGAAUACCCAUUUGCAACCUAUGGCAGCUUUGUUCUUAGGCAGAAGAACAGUCUCCCAUGUUUGAUUUGACUCUAAAGCAGAUAUCUCACAUUGUAUAACUUUUCUCCAAUAGUCAUGUUUCACAGCUUCAGAAUAAGUGUUUGGCUCAACAUGUGAAGAAAGAGACAUAACAAAAGAUUUGUAAGAAUGUGAUAAAUUGCUAUAAGACAAAACAGAAUUCAAAGGGUAUUUAACUCUUGAAGAUGUACUAGAAACGUUAAGAUUACAAUGAUAAUCCUUUAAAUACUCAGGUGAAAUUUUUAUUCUUGUGCUCAUUCGGACAGAUGGAUCUGAUUCAAAACUUUGUUUUAUAUCAUGAUUUUCAUUGAGGUUUUGGUCUAUAUGGGAACAAUCUACGUCUGAAACCUCAAUUUGUGACUCACAAUUAUUAUCACUGUUAUUUUCAACAUUAUCACAAGGUGUAUUUUCACAAGGUGCAAGAAUGACUUGUGAUGGCUNNNNNNNNNNNNNNNNNNNNNNNNNNNNNNNNNNNNNNNNNNNNNNNNNNNNNNNNNNNNNNNNNNNNNNNNNNNNNNNNNNNNNNNNNNNNNNNNNNNNNNNNNNNNNNNNNNNNNNNNNNNNNNNNNNNNNNNNNNNNNNNNNNNNNNNNNNNNNNNNNNNNNNNNNNNNNNNNNNNNNNNNNNNNNNNNNNNNNNNNNNNNNNNNNNNNNNNNNNNNNNNNNNNNNNNNNNNNNNNNNNNNNNNNNNNNNNNNNNNNNNNNNNNNNNNNNNNNNNNNNNNNNNNNNNNNNNNNNNNNNNNNNNNNNNNNNNNNNNNNNNNNNNNNNNNNNNNNNNNNNNNNNNNNNNNNNNNNNNNNNNNNNNNNNNNNNNNNNNNNNNNNNNNNNNNNNNNNNNNNNNNNNNNNNNNNNNNNNNNNNNNNNNNNNNNNNNNNNNNNNNNNNNNNNNNNNNNNNNNNNNNNNNNNNNNNNNNNNNNNNNNNNNNNNNNNNNNNNNNNNNNNNNNNNNNNNNNNNNNNNNNNNNNNNNNNNNNNNNNNNNNNNNNNNNNNNNNNNNNNNNNNNNNNNNNNNNNNNNNNNNNNNNNNNNNNNNNNNNNNNNNNNNNNNNNNNNNNNNNNNNNNNNNNNNNNNNNNNNNNNNNNNNNNNNNNNNNNNNNNNNNNNNNNNNNNNNNNNNNNNNNNNNNNNNNNNNNNNNNNNNNNNNNNNNNNNNNNNNNNNNNNNNNNNNNNNNNNNNNNNNNNNNNNNNNNNNNNNNNNNNNNNNNNNNNNNNNNNNNNNNNNNNNNNNNNNNNNNNNNNNNNNNNNNNNNNNNNNNNNNNNNNNNNNNNNNNNNNNNNNNNNNNNNNNNNNNNNNNNNNNNNNNNNNNNNNNNNNNNNNNNNNNNNNNNNNNNNNNNNNNNNNNNNNNNNNNNNNNNNNNNNNNNNNNNNNNNNNNNNNNNNNNNNNNNNNNNNNNNNNNNNNNNNNNNNNNNNNNNNNNNNNNNNNNNNNNNNNNNNNNNNNNNNNNNNNNNNNNNNNNNNNNNNNNNNNNNNNNNNNNNNNNNNNNNNNNNNNNNNNNNNNNNNNNNNNNNNNNNNNNNNNNNNNNNNNNNNNNNNNNNNNNNNNNNNNNNNNNNNNNNNNNNNNNNNNNNNNNNNNNNNNNNNNNNNNNNNNNNNNNNNNNNNNNNNNNNNNNNNNNNNNNNNNNNNNNNNNNNNNNNNNNNNNNNNNNNNNNNNNNNNNNNNNNNNNNNNNNNNNNNNNNNNNNNNNNNNNNNNNNNNNNNNNNNNNNNNNNNNNNNNNNNNNNNNNNNNNNNNNNNNNNNNNNNNNNNNNNNNNNNNNNNNNUGUGAUCAGUAGCACCACUAUCAAUAAUCCAAGAACUAGAAGAAGAAAUAGAAUUAUUACCAGUUUGUGUUGUCAUGUUGGAAGGAAUAAUAGAGACUUGACUAGAAACAUUGUCACUGGAUUUGACUUGUUGUAAAAGAGCUAACAAUGUUUGAUACUGCUCAGGAGUAAAACCAAUUUGUUGAGACUCCACUUCUGACUUUGAACCUUCAUGAUUCUGCUCAUUAUUGUUAAAAUUUGUAUUGUGAAAGGCUGCAUGACUUUGAUGAUGGUUCUGAUUUUUAAAUUUGAAAUAAGGUGGAAAACCAUGCUUUUUAUAGCAUGUAUCAAUGGUAUGCCCUGUCUUUCCACAAUAACUGCAAAUUUUGGAAGUAUAUCCUCUUCCAUAGCUUCCUCUUCCAUAUCCACCACCCAUGCCAUAGAUCAUAACAUUGUUAUUAUAACCUCCUUUGCUAGUAGCAAUCAUUGCCUUGGAUUGAUCACCAAAAACUUGCCUCUCUUGUUGUGUAAUGAGAGAGUAAACUCUAUUCAAGGAUGAAUUAUCUGAUAAACUAACAUGGUAAGGUGAACAAAGAUCUUGUGAGGGAUCAACAAUUUCACCCAUAGAUAAAUGUAGUCUAAUCAGAGCUCUGAUACCAUAUUACAAAAUAGAAUAGAGAUGAACAAAAGAGAACAGAGAUGAACAAAAGAGUAAACUGAAGACAAAGGAUAUGAGAAUGAAUAUCUCUUUUUUCUUGUUAUUCAAAUCAAAACAAAUGGUCUGAAUAUAUACAAGUAGUACACUCAUUAUAGGUUUAACUAAAGAGGAAAAGAAUCAAUAAUUAAAUAAUAGAAUCAUAACACAUAAGACAAAAUAAAGGUUAUUCACCUCUAUAAAGAGAAACAUCUGAUAAUUAGAAAAGACACCAAAUUAUUAUUCUCUAUAAAGAGAAACAACUGAUAAUUAGAAAAGACACCCAAUUAAUAUUAGGAUCCUUCUAUAACUCUGGUAUCCGUAUCCUUUAAUAAUAUGGCAGAAAAAUACUCAAAGCUAUAAAAAAAAACACAUAAUUGAGCAAUGUUUUUGUUUCUCAGACUGAUUUUCGGAUUAAUAAAAAUUGAGAAUGAGAUAUGAGAUAGGGAAGAGAGUGGUUUGAAUGAAAAAAAAUUCAAGUACAUAUUCUUUUGACGGAUAUAAUAGAUGUUAAACCAAAAAUACAAGGACAAGAUAAAUGGGUGUGAGAAGGGGGAGAAACAUGAAUAGGUUUUGAUAAAUCAAUUUAUAAUAUUUUGCACAAUAGUUAUAGGAGUGAGGUUGAUGAUUUUUUUCAGUUUAAUUUGAAAAACAAUUGUUAUAUAAAAUGAAAAAUUAUUUGUAUGAAGGACUGGUCUGAAUAGAAUCCAACCUAAGAAUAACUUGAAAAAAAAAAAGGUGUAAUCUUGAGUACAAAUCUACAGUUGCAACCUGAAACUAUACCAUACCUUUUUCUGAAAUGUAGUGUAGCUAUUUGGAAUAAGUGCUUUAAGUGAAUAAGAAUAUUAAUUGUGUCACAUAAUUUUGUUUCAAUCACUUUCACCAUUUUAAAUGUCCAGACUUAAAUAAGAAACAAAAUAUGUUAUGUAAAACUAUCUGGUAGCGGUCAUGAGAGAAGUUUGGGACCAUAGAAAUAAAGUGCUAUUCAAAUACAGAGUCUGUGAUGGGGAAACUCUUUUUGGGUUAGUACAAUUAAAAGGUUGGGCGUGGAUUACAAAUUCAAAUAAAAUGCAGUUGAUUUCUUACCCAAACCCAAACUGAUGCAUAUAUCCGAAAACUUGCUUACAAAUGUCUUAAUCACUAACCAUUGUCAAAUCUUUAUCAUCUCUUGUAGAGGUCUGUGGAUGUUGAUAUUUUAAGUGGUUGGUGCCAAGUCUUGGGCUUACAAUCUUAGCAGUAGAAUCUAGACUGCAAGCUCUUGCUUUUUCUUAUACUUUGACAGGAUAAGAGAACAUGGUGUUCAUCAGAUUGGAAGGUGCGCUGCUAUAAGGAGGCUGACCUAUUCAAAUCCAACGCAACUGUUUUCAGGAUCAUAUCUAAUUUUGUUGUAAUAAGAAAGGUAGUAGUGAUAAAAGGCCUUUUCGCGUGGAGUUUUUUGGGACCCUAAAAAUCUGAUUUCUUAUUUUUUAUGGUGUAAAGUGUUGAAUAUUUAGGUGUAGUUUUGGAAUCAACACUCUUAUGAUUAGGAAAUGCAAUUUCAUGGUCCGAUUUAGAGGUAUAGAGUCAACUUUAAACUCAGAAAGAAUAUGUAUAGUUUCUGAUACUUAUUUUUUUAAAAGGGCUGGGUGCCUAAGUACUCAUAUUUAAUAUAUUCUUUAUUGUUGAUUAAUUUUUUUAAUGAAUGUGAUAUAAUAUAUGUUCUAUUUAAGGUUAUAUUUUAAAAUAGAUUUAAUAUUUUAGAAUAUUUUAAAAUAUUUCAGCUUUAUAACUAAUUCAUUUAAAAUCUCCUAUUUUUAGUUGUUAACAAAUAUAAACAUUAUUAUUUUUAUCUCUAUAAAUGUUAACGAGGAACUAAGGACAUAAUAGAAAUGAAAAUAAAAUUGAAGAGACCAAUUCCCAGAAAAUGUCCUUUUAAUACAUUAAAAUAUAUUUUGCCUCUAAACUAAUUAUAAGUAUUAAGGUUAAUGACAUACUUACAUUACCAAAAAUUAUAAUUUUAAGAGACUUUUAUUAGUAGAGUAGAGGUUACUAUAACAUCUUACAUGGAUAGAAAUGAUUAUUUAAACCCCUAGUAACACGUACUUAGUAGAGAUUUUUUUAAACCUCUAAUAACUCAACGGUUUUUUUAAUAAAAAAUAAUUAAAGUAAAGUAUUUUAAUUUUAUUCCUUUUUUUUAUCUUGGUUUCUUUUUUUAAAAUCCAAUUGAGACAAAGUACUUCACUUUUUAUAUUAAUCCAAUCUAUUAAAUAUUCAUUUAUUUAAAUUUAGUUUUUAUUCACAUUUUAUCAUUUUUCCAUAUCAAACAUUUAUUUUGAUUAAAUAGAUUUUUUCCAAUCUAAAUUUCGUUCUCUGUCUCAUAACCCUAAUCUGAGAACCAUGGUGAACCUUCAUUUCCAUUUCCAUUGUUGACUCACGUCCGUGUGUCUAAAUUUUUCUAAACAAUUUUUCACUUAAAUUUUUAAAAUUAAUAUUAUUUUAUUUUUACUUUCUUCUUCUCCUCUCACUCUCUAUAAUACAAAAAGAAAAAAACAAACCUCAUCCCUCAAUCGAUUCUGAUAGUUUUAGAACUAAAAUAGGGAAAAAAUAUUUUUAAUUAAAUAUUAACAUUUUUUACUUACAAACUAUUUUUUUAAUUUAUUUUAUUCUAUUUUUGUUUUCUUGUUCUACACUCUUGGUUCUUACGGAGCAAUAUAAAACCACCUCCUCUAAAAGCUAGCAAGGGUUUUUGGUUAGCCGACAUGGUGGCAGUGAAAGACAACCGCUGCGAGAAGUGUGCAAUCCAAGAGUCCUUCAAUAACCUCCAAGACGGAUCACAGGAUUUCACCAAGAUCAUGAUUAGCAGUCCAAGAAUUGAAGCUUCCUUCAUUAACAGUGGAUCAGGCUCCCAAGAUCUUAAGGGCCACAAGAUUCCAUGUGAUGACAAAUCUAUUUUGCACAAUUUUAACCUUUUCAACUACCACCACACAGGUAAUAACCGUCACAUGACUGUCUCCACCCCUUCGGUUACCACCACCACCAUUUCCCUCCCCAACAAUCCACGUCGCACUCCAAAUCACCGCCCCCACUUCUCUGGAAUCGUUAAUUCCUUCAACAACUCUGAAGAAGGGAUACAAGAUUUCAGCCUCGCCACGAUCAAGAGUACUGCAACUGGAGAUUCCUUCAACAACUCCGAAGGAGGGUUACAAGAUUUCAGCGACGCCAAGAUCAAGAGUACUGCAACUGGAGAUUCCUUCAACAACCUCGGAUCAGGCUCCCAAACUUUCAGAGAGGCCGAGAUUCGUUGUGGUGAGGAAUCCAGCAAACCGAGUAGAUCUACUUUGCCCUUGAAAGGAGACCAUCUCCACUCCUUCAAUAAUAAGGGAUCCCAGUGUUUCGACGGUUUCAAUCGCAACUGACCACUUAUCAGCUUUCUCAUCUAUCCAUUUCUCUCUGCUCUAUAGCUUUUAUGAUUUCCGGACUUUUGCUUCAAACAUAAUUAGGUUUUUUUUUUUAAUAUUCUAGGGUUUGAGAUUAACAGUAAUUAUUAUGGUUGAUGUCGGUCAUUAAGGUCUUCUUUUUUGUGUUCCUGUAUUUCAGUACUUCACUUUCUCGUAUUUUAACAUUUUCUCUCAUUUUCUCUCCUUAACUCCUUAGUAUUCGGUAGAGAGCUAAUCUAUAAAAAGGUUAUUCAACGAACGAUAAAAGUACCUCUCUAUAUGUAUUUGAUAAAAGCGUAUUUUUUUUUUAUAAAAUUUAUUUAUAAUAUUUGGUCACCCUCUGUCAUAAUGAGUGUUUUUUUUUUAAUUAAAAGUGCUUAUUAUAUUUUUUUAUCUUUUUUAAAACUAUAUAAGAAGUAAACAAUAAAAAUAAAAUUUUCAAAUUAAUUUAUAAGAAAGAUUAAUGUUGCAUUAAAAUUAUAAUUUUGCUCUAUAUAAUAUGGAACUAAUAUCUCUUUUAAGUUUUCAAAAAUUUCUAGAUCUCUUUAAUAUAUUUCUAACAUAAAUUUCUGGUUUGUAUGUAUUUGAUAAAAUCCUUUGAAGUUCUAGGUCUUUUAUUUUUUAAAGGUUGGGGAGAAGUGUUAGAUUGUUUCUAAAGUAUUUUUAUAUCAAUCUGAUAACUUGUUUCUUAGUUGUUCAAGUAGGAUAUUUGUGGUAAACUUUUGGAAAAACAUGUCAUAUGUUUAUGUUCAAUUUUGUAUAAAGAUUUGACCAUUCCUAAAAUAUUUAUAUAUUUAUUUUUUCUUACUGACAAAAAAACUUCUAACAUAAUUAAAGACACAUAUCCUAUAUGUCAAUAAGGCAAUGCUUAUUUAUAAUAAAAUAAAUAAAUGUUAAAAAUGUACAAAAACCACUUACAAUUAAAAUUAAAAAUAAUUUAAGGUAUUUAAAAAAUUACCUUUAUAAAGAUAAGGAAAUCUUAGAUUUAUCUUCUAAAGUGUAUUCAGAAAAGUCUUAAAGAUCACAAAUAUAUUCUUCUCAACCAAACAUUUCAAAUGUAAACCACAAAUAUGUAGUUUUUUCAGAUGGCAGUGGAGUCGACAAAACAUAUGUUUUUUAAAUGCAGCAUUGCUUGACGAAUCUGAAAUCAGUGUUAUGCAUGGAUGAGGAUAGCGUCUGUUGAUCAUGUUGAUCCAGGUUCUCACUUCUUACAUUUUAAUCUGAUAAAUGCUCCUGUCCAGUAUAAUAUUGUUUGGAGUAGUGUUUGGAUUGCUAUGGUUAGUGAAAUCUGGAAGCACAGGAAUAAACAUAUUUUCCAAUGUGGAGUGAUCGACCUUUCGGAAGUGUUCACUUUGGCACAAUUAAGGGUUUGGUCUUGGAGAACUUCAAAAACUGUUUCUGUUCGGUUUUCUUACUCUGAAUGGUGCAUUGAUAAUGUGACUUUGUAUGUUUUCAAUUAAGUGCGCUUUUGUAAGGUUUACUCCUUUAGUUUGGUUGUUUGUUGUUCUAAGUUUGUGAGGGUUAGGUUGUUUAGAAGGGGUGUGGGGAUUUAUUGUGUUAUGGUUUGUAUAAGGGUUGGAUCACCCCUAAAGUGGUUCAUAUUUAUUUAUUUUUUCUUGUUGAUCAAAAAAUUAUUAGAAAAUCAUUAUAUAGAAAUCAAUUUUAGAAACAAAUAAAUAAUUAGUUAUUAUAUUGACUAAAUUAAAAACUAUUUUAAAAAUUAAAAAAAAUUAUUGAUAUCUAAAUUCGGUUCUAUUAUUUAUAAAUAGUUUCUAAAUUAGUAUUUAAUUAGCUACCAAAAUUUUAGCAACCAAUUAUUUAGAUUCUAAAAAAUUGGUAACUAAAACCUAGAUAGCUAAUUAAAUAAUAAUUUAAAAAAUAUUUAUUUAUAAUAGAAACCAAUCUAGAUAUCAAUAAUUUUUAGUCUCCAGAAUAGUAUUUAAUUUAAUCAAUAUAAUAAUUAAUUAUUUUUUAUUUUUAAAAUUAUUUUUUAUUAUUAAUUUUCUUGUAGUUAAAAUCAUAUUCAACCGCAACAUUUGUGUUUAUCUAUAAUUUUCUAUUAAAAAUGAUAAUUGCAUUUCUACAAUAAUAUGUAUAAGAAUACUAGUUUCAGCUAUGAUCCUCGCGCAAUCUUAAAGUAAGGUUUUUUCUAUUUUUCUCGUAAAAUUUUUCCUUACAUAUUUAUCUUACUAUUCAUUAUUUUCUCAUAAGUGAAAAGUACUUAUGUAUAUAAUAAAGAAAAAAAUGGGAUGCUUUGACUUCAAACUAUUAAUAAAAAUGUAUCACUUUAUUUUUAUUGAAAAAAUAAAUAAAUCACGAUGAAAAACUUAAAUUUAUUUGGAAGUAUAUGAUAAUAUUUGAAACUUAAAUUUACUUUUUAUUAAAAAAAUGAAAAUGUAAAAGUUAUUUGGAAUGACAAGAUAAUAUUUGAAACUUGGAAGGAUAAUUUUGUUAUUCAUUGCCAUCUUCCAUGAAUCAAAUAACAUAUACUAAAAAAAAUAUUUGCAAUGAUUAAUAUUUAUUAAUUAUUUUUCAAAUAAUUGUAUAAUUAAUAAUUAAAUUAUCUAUUUUAUUUAAAUUUAUUUUAGAAAAUGAUAAUAAUAGUAAUAGUAAACGACAACCUAAUUGUAUAACAUAACUGAUUAUUUUAAGGAUUAAUUAUAUUUUUAGUCCCUAUAUCAAGGAUAAAAAUCAAUUCAAUCAUUAGAUUUUAAAAAAAUUUAAUAUAGUUUCAAUUUUUUUUAAAAAGAUUCAAUAUGAUGUGGUUCCUUUUGUUAUAAACCAUCACCACAUCGAAUUAUUUUUAAAAAGUUGGGACAACAUUAAACUUUCUUAUAAAGAUUUGAAUGGUAACUUUACUUAUGCCUAAUUUAUACAUGAAUUUUUGUCAUGGAUAACACUAUUUUAUCUACAAAUUUUCUCUGUUGCCUACGGAUUUUUGCAGUAGGUAAUUGCAAUUUUUUUUGUAAUGAGUAAAUUACAUUAAAAAGUUGAGUGAUAAUAUAGACUAUAAUUUAUUUUGCAAUAAACAUACUAGUGAUAGAUACAACCCAAUUGUAUUUACAAAUGUCUAUAAAAAAAAUACAAAAAAACUGUACAAAUGUAAAUGUAUUUAGGAUAAAUAAUUAUUUUUACUUUUUUUUUUCAUUUUCUAAAUGUGAGUUUAGAUGUAUGUUUGAAUCAACCUAAUACAAUAGUUGUUGGAAAGAUACUCGUUUGAUGAUAUAUUCAAAUAUAGGCUUAAUAACCUAAUAGUUCUAUAUUUUGUAUCCAACCAAAGUUCAAUAAAAUAGUAAAUACGUAACAUAGUUAAAACAUUUUUUUGGGUGUAGCCAAUGUAAUGCAAUAUAGUGUGGAAUUAUGGUAAGCUUAUGGAAAUUUAUGCAAUAUAUUGUUUAGAAAUUUAUUAUCGUUCAUAAUAUUUUCUACCAAAAUCAAAAUAUCAUAAGUGAACUUAUCACAAUAAAUAUUUCUUUCAUAUUUACAUAAAAUUUAUUAAUUUUUGUUGGAGUUUCAUAUUGAGGAAGAGAGAAUUAGGAAUCAAUGUUGGAUAGAGUCUUCUGAUGGAAGGUAUAAGGGGUGUGUGUAUUGGGUUGGACAUGAGAUCCUCAUGAUGAUUGUGUUGAAAGUUACCUACAACAAACACAAAUAUGUUCAAUUCAAAAAAGUUGAUUCACAAAAGAUUAAUUAACUUAAACAACGACUUGCAAUAAGUGAGGAGAGGAUCUCCAAUAAUGAGAAACAUAUUCAUUGGAUGAGCUCCCACCUUCAUAUAUUUAUUGUUGUGGUCCUCUAGUACCUACCAUCUUCACCUUAGUAGAAUUAACAACACAAAAUAUUGCUUCCACAAACCAUAUCCCAAUAUACCAUACAACCCAGAGUAUCUCUUCAUUUAGGCAAGAAAAGUUCUUCCAUCCACCUGCUGUUGGGUACUCUAACUAACGAGUGAUUUGGUAAGGAUGAGAGGGGGCGUAAACACCAGAAAGUGGCAUGGAGACCAUGGUUCUUCACAGGACUACACAACGUUUUUCUUCUCUAACUUCCCACAUGGUUAUACGGAAACAGAUUUGCUCAAAGUGUUUCAAAGAUGGGCCAGAGUGAAAGAAGUGUUUGUCUCUCGAAGGUUGAAUAAAUGGGGGAAAAGGUUUGGCUUUGUGAGAUUUUUUGACGUUAGAAAUGUGAGAUGGCUGGAAAGUGAGCUUGACCAAAUAAUCGUUGGUAACCGGAAACUACAUGUUAACAUCCCGAAAUACCGUAGGCCUUAGGAGGAAAACGUAAGGUAUGGUAGAAGGGUUCUGAGAAACGUAGAUGUGGGGAAACGUAGGGAGGAAGGGAAGGAGCAACAAAAGGAAAACGGGUCUAAUACGGAGAAGAAUGGAAAUCAAGCAUGGGGGGAGAAUGGAAAACAAGUAUGGGUGGAGAAGCAAGGAAGUAGGUCUUUCGUUGAAGUGGUUACAGGGGCAAGCCAGGCAAGCUGGAAGGAACCUUUGGUCAAAUGUCUUCAACAAUCGAUACCAUGGAUGGUCAGAAGUAGCAUAGGCCAGUUUAAGGAAGAAUUAAGCUAUGACCAGGUGGAGGAGGAGUUCAUAAAAGGAGGCAUAAACCUGAUGCAAGUAAGGUUCUUAGGGGAUAAUUUUUCCUUGUUGACAGGGGUGGUUUUCGAAACGUUCUACUCGGAUAACCAGCAAUGGGUGGAUAGUGUUUUCGUCAGUAUUAAGCCGUGGACGCCAGAUUUUGUAGUGGACCAUAAACGUGUAUGGGUGAGGUGCUACGGGCUGCCUUUAGCCUUGUGGAAUAUGGAUGGGUUUACGAAGGUGGUGGGCAAAGAGGUAAAGCUGGUGUCUGUGGAUGAUGCUACGUUAUCCUGGGAGAACGUAGAGUUCGCUAGAUUUCAGGUGCGAACCCCUCUAAGUCAUAGUUUAAGGUGGGUGAAAAGUAUGAGGCUGAACGACAUGUGGUGUAGCAUUGUCAUGGAGGAGGAAGUUGUUACAGAUGGAAGAGGCAUGUGCAAGUGCAAUAGCUAUGAGUCAACGGUUAACGAAUCGUUGUCGAAGACAUACGUAGAAGAAUCUUCAUUAUCGGUUAAAAGUGGUGAGGAUGAGCUUCGCCAGUGGGAAGGGGAGUGCAUCCGUUCAUGGAAAGAGGAGGACGAAAGGGAAGCAAAGUCAAGGGGCUUUUUGGGAACAUCAUCUAAAGAGCAGUUUUUUAAGGAAUCAAAUGCAGAGUACAGAGAUGAGCAGGGGAAAAGCUGUCUUUGUUCAUGAAAGAAGUAAGUGAGAGAAGGACACAAAUGGAAGGUGCUGAAGUAAGCCUACUUACGGCUAUUGCGUGCGCCGAGAACUAUAACAGUAGUCUUAUACAUGCUGACCUGGCUAAAGUGGUAGUAGAUAUUGAAGUAUCUUCUUUAGCAUUUAAAAUUAACGGUCUGGGCCAAGUGGGAAAUCUGGAGGCCCAAACCGAGACCGAAAGGAAUCAAUCUCUCCCCACUUUUGAAGGUGGGCCAAGGCCCGAUAGGGAGUGUUGUGGGAAAAAUGAAGGAAAGGAAGGUUACGAGUGUGGGAUGCAGGGGGAAACAAAGGAGGCGCUCGUACGUGUUAACGACUGCAUUUCGCAGACUGAAGAGAAUUGGGAGGGAGCUACACGGUCAAUGAAAGGUGUGCAGCUUGAUAAGAAUGGGAAGUAUGGGUCAACGAAGAAAGGUGAGUACUAGAGGAAUGGAGAAGGCGUAGCGAUUGAAGGGGGAAACUACCCAAGAAGCCACUCGUAGCGAAUUACAGGCUUGUGGUCUCCUCCAAUCCGUCAGCGUAAAGAAAAAGGGCUCAUUGAUUUGGGGGAUUCAUCUCUACCCCAAAGGAGGCGGUCUGUAAGGUUACACGAGAAACAAGCUCGCUUCGCACUGUCCAAACAUCAACAUGAAGGUAAGAUCUCUGCCUCAAUCUCGGAUGGAGACAUUUAUAAUUGUAAUUCUCGGCUGUGCGAACAAGGCAAUGGGGCUGAACCAACAGUAUUGUGGGAGAUUGGAAAAACAUCAGGGAUUUUUUGUCAUGGGAUUGAAGAAGAAGUCAUUCAAGAAUAUAUGUGUAUGGAAGAGCGAGACAUGGGGGUUGCGAAACUGGCCAAGGAGGGGGAUAAGGAUGGGUUGUCAUGAUAAUAAUAAAUCUCAACAUAAGAGGAUUGGGGGGAGGUAUCAAAACUAGGUACUUGAAACACAUUAUAGCUAAAGAAGAUGCGGUUUUUCUCUGUUUGCAAGAAACUAAAGCGGUUCAAAUCUCAGAUGCGAGGUGUUUUUCGUUUUGGGGAGAUAACAAUGUUGGAUGGGUGCAUUACGAAGGGGAUAAUGGUGGGGGAAGUCUGCUAUCUAUGUGGCGCACAGAUGCAUUUAUUUAUGACAGCCAUACUGAGGGGAAGGGGUACAUAGCAGUGUCUGGGCAACAUGUGAAAGCUAAUUGCAGGUGUGUGGUGGUCAAUAUUUAUGUCGCCUGCUCCUUGAGGGAGAAGAAGGUUUUGUGGGGGGAGCUGUCACGCAUCAAAUCUGCAUCCAAUGAUCUAAUCUGGUGCCUCUGUGGCGACUUCAAUGCAGUAAGAAGUCACUGUGAAAGGAAAGGCACGGUGGAAAGGGGUUCUCAAUUAAGUGAAAUAAGAGAGUUCAACAGUUUCAUUGACGACAACUUACUGAUCGAGCUCCCUUUUGUCGGUAAGAAUUUUACUUGGUUCAAUUCCAAUGGGAAGGCGAAGAGUAGGCUUGACAAAGUACUGGUAUCGGAAGAGUGGAUGCAAAUGUGGCCUUUGUGCAAACAAUAUGUGCAACGUAGGGAAGUAUCCGACCACUGUGCACUAGUAGUGAAAUCUGUGGACAAGGAUUGGGGUCCUAAACCCUUCAGAACUAUAGAUGCCUGGUUAGCAGAGAAAGGAUUUAUUGAAAUGGUGAAGGAUAGAUGGACUUCAUACAUAGUACAAGGGAGUAGUUUCACGAAGGUUAAAGACAAAUUGAAACGGUUGAAGGGAGAUUUAAAAGUAUGGAACAGGAACAUCUUCGACAAUUUGGAGACGAUUAAAAAGAGGAUCCUUCAAGAGAUAGAGGAUUAUGAUUAUCAAGAUUGAAUUGAUAAUCUGUUGGGUUGUGAUAGAAUGAAGAGGAUCGAGUUAGUAGGCCAGCUGAAGGAGGUUGAUAAUAAAAUUGAGUCUCUUAUGCGCCAGAAGACUAGAGUUAGCUGGUUGAAGAAUGGGGACUCCUGCACGAAAUUCUUUUACUCAUCACUGAGAUGGAGAAGAAGUAGGAAUGAGGUGAAGGCAGUGGAGAUAGGAGGAUUGUGGUGUGAGGAGCCUAGUACAGUUCGUAAUGAAGCAAGAAGGUGGUUUGAAAACAGAUUUAGAGCAACAAAAGAUUUACGGGUAAGAUUCGAUGCAGUUGAGUUUAAGUCUUUAUCCUUGUAAGAUAAUUUGAGGCUGAUAAAGGGAUUCUCUGAGGCAGAAGUAAGGGAUGCUGUGUGGCAAUGCAAAGGAUCAAAAAGUCCUGGACCUGAUGGGUUUAACUUCAAUUUUUUGAAGAAUGGUUGGGAGGUUGUGAAGGAAGAUCUUAUGGAAGUGAUGAAUUUGUUUCAUGAAACAGGUUUUAUUCCCAAGGGGUGCAAUGCGUCGUUCAUUGCACUAGUUCCUAAAGUUAGGAACCCUGUUUCUCUUGACCAUUUUAGACCUAUUUCACUUGUUGGUGCUAUGUAUAAAAUUAUAUCCAAAGUGUUAGCUGAAAGGGUCAAGAAAGUGUUGCCCAUGGUUAUUGAUGAUUGUCAGUCGGCUUUUCUAAAGAAUAGGAGGAUCUUAGACAGUGUCCUAAUGGCUAAUGAGGUGAUUGAGGACAUCAGACGACGGAGACAAAGUGGGUUAUGUCUAAAGGUGGACUUUGAAAAAGCUUAUGAUUCGGUGAGAUGGGAAUUCCUCUAUGACAUGAUGCGUAAGAUGGGGUUUCAUAUGAAGUGGAUUAGUUGGAUCCAGGGUUGUCUGGAAAGUGCUUCUAUCUCUGUGUUGGUGAACGGGAGCCCAACAGAUGAAUUUAAACCGGAGAGAGGUCUGAGGCAGGGAGACCCUCUGGCCCCGUUUCUCUUCUUGAUUGUAGCGGAAGGCUUGACUGGGUUGGUAAGGCAAGCUGUAAAGGGUAACUUAUUAUCCGGUUUGAGGAUCAGGAGGAAAGAGGUUGAGAUAAGUAUUCUACAGUUCGCUGAUGACACAUUAUUCUUCUGUAAGGAUUCUUUCAGCAAUGUAGUAACUUUAAAGGCUAUUCUCAGGGGUUUUGAGAUAGCUUCUGGCCUCAAGAUCAACUUCCACAAAUCAAAGAUUGCAGGCAUCAAUGUACAUAAGAAUAAUAUCCUUUGCUAUAUGAAGACCUUGAAUUGUGCGAAGAUGACAGUUCCUUUUAAGUACCUAGGACUUGAGGUGGGAGGCAAUCCGAGGAGGAAGAAGUUUUGGGAGCCAGUCAUUGAUAAGUUGGAAGCUAGACUAAGCACAUGGAGAGGGAGGUUUUUAUAAAUGGCAGGAAGACUCUGUAUUAUUAAAUCUGUGCUCACGGCGGUACCCCUGUACUAUCUAUCUAUUUUCAGAGCACCGGAAUCGGUCUGUAAGAACAUUAACAGUAUUCAAAGAAGGUUUCUGUGGGGAUGGGGGAAGGAGAAGAAGCCCAUCUCAUGGGUCAGUUGGAAGAAUGUGUGCAAAUCAAAACAGGAAGGAGGACUGGGGAUUUUAGAUGUACGUGAUUUCAAUCAUGCUUUGCUGGCUAAGUGGAAAUGGCGACGACUCUCGGAUGAAAAAGGACGAUGGAAGGACAUUUUGGAGUUGAAAUAUGGAGAUGAAAAUGAGGGGUUGCAAUUACCAAUUAGGAUGCAAUCCUGGUGGUGGAGGGAUCUCCGCAAAGUAUGCAUGCAGGGUGGAGGACAAGGUUGGUUCCAAGCAUAAAUGAGUUGGAGGAUAGGAUGUGGUGAUAGAAUAAAAUUUUGGGAAGAUGUAUGGAUCGGGAAUACCAACCUCAAAUCUGAGUUUCCCAGGCUGUACUCCAUAUCGUGCAAUCAGACUCAAACAAUGGAAGAGGUAGGCGGAUGGGAAGGGGAUGUAUGGAGAUGGAACUUAAGGUGGAGGCGGGCUAGAUUUGAGUGGGAAGCAGUAUUGGAGAAGGACCUAUAUUCUCAUAUAUCUAGGACUGUUAUUAGAAGGCAUGAGCAAGACAUUCGGGUGUGGAGGGUUAAUAAUAAGGGGUGUUUCUCAGUGAAAUCAGCUUACGAGAGCAUAAGAGGCGAAGGCACUAGUAUUGGGGUCUUUGAUCUCCUUUAGAAGGCCAAGGCCUUUCCCUCUGUUCUGAUUACUGCAUGGAGGUCCAUACUGGAUAGACUACCAACUAGAGAAUGUUUGAGUAGGAGGGGGGUGAUGAUGGAAUCCACAUCAUGUGUGUUUUGCCUCUCUAAAGUGGAAUCCAGCCAACAUUUAUUGUUGGAAUGUGAGGUGGUGGUGCGCGUGUGGGACCUGUGUCAUAGAUGGAUUAACAUACUCUCUGUUCAACAUAACGUACUGCAUAAUCACUUUGAAAGUUUCUCUCUAACUCAGGUCAGUAACAAACAAGAGAUGGUUUGGAAAGGCAUAUGGGCUUCCAUAGUGAGGAGUGUAUGGGAACAUAGGAACUUGGUAGUGUUCAAGCAAGGAGUUGUAGAUGCUGAAGACAUUUUCCAGCAAGCCCAACUGAAAUCUUGGUUAUGGAUGAAGUAUAGGGUACCCAGGUUCAAUUACUCGUUUGUGGAGUGGGUCCUGAAUCCUUUGCUCUGUAUUAAGAGCUAUAAGUAAAGGAUCAUCAGGGAGUAAUCCGGUUCAGGAAAGGUCGAAGGGUAUACUGAAGAAUGGACUGUUUGUAGGAUGUGCAGCAGCUGGGCGCAUCGGUUGUUGGCAGGUACUAUGUUGAUUGGAGGUGUUGUUUAUGGGCGUUGUGGUGAAACGACAUUGGCCUGUUUUGAUGAGGGUGCUGCAGUGGCUGAGUUCGGUACAAGAUGGAAUCAUGGAGUUUUCCAGGUGCAGGUUUGGAUUGGUAUGCUGCAGAUAUGGAAUGGAAUGGUGCAAGGAUAGUAGGCGUGUCAUACUCAUCCAAUGCUAUAUACCAUAACAGGGAAUGAUAAUAGGUGCACUCUUUGCUGAUGGGAACUUAGAUUUUUCAUGGAUGUUUUAUUGGAUACGAAGGUAUGUAGCUGUGUGCAGAUAUUGGUUUCUGUUUUUUGUUGUCUUGGCUAGGUCCAUAUCUAUUGGUGGCGUCGUUUUAGGAAUGAUUGGAAGAGAGGGACCGUGUCUACCUACGUUGCUGAAGGCCAAUGGACUUUAUGCAGAUAAAGGUUUUGGUUGGAAGAAGUCUUUUAUAGCUAUGUCUCUAAGUUUUUUACAGUUUCACCUGUGUCCCUAGCUAUAAGUGCUUUUUGUAUAUGGGUUGGGACACCCCUUAAGUGUCCCGUUUUUAAUUUAAUUAAUUCUUUGCUGAUAAAAAAAAAACACAAAAUAUUACUAACUAACUAGAUAAGUUACCAAUAACAAAAUCAGGAGAAUGAAAAGUACAAUGUGAUAAAAAAUGUAAUCCACCUCAUGAUAACAAUGAUUAUUAGUUUGUUAAGAAAAUUGUAUUAUACGUGUUACUUAAAAAUUGGUACAAGGCCAUCAAUAACAAUAACAACAUGCUUAGAUAUGUUUACUGUGGUUGUAUUUCUUUUAUUAUGUUGAAAUAUUUCUCUGAAUUAUAUGUUUCAACUUUAUUAUAUGUCAUAUUAGUUAAUAUCAUUUUAUUUAUUGUACUACUAUUUAUAUAAUUGUGUUAGCAUAUGAAUAUCAAGGAAUUUGUAAGAGAUCACUACCUACAUUUUAAUGCUAUAAAAAAAAGGCAAUUAUCUAUGAAAUUACAUACAAAAUUAUCCACAUAUAUGUAAUUAACUAUGGAUGAAUUCAUAAGUAUUUAUGUAUGAAUCCCCAUACAUAAUUAUCCAGAAAUUCAUUUGUACAUAAAUACCUAUGGAUCCAUUUGUUCGUAAUUACCUACAAACCCACGGAUACAUAAUUAUCUGCUGCAGAGACAUCCGUGCGUACUUAUAUACAAAUGCUAGCUAUGAAUAUCAUCAUGCGAGAUUAUCUGCGCUAGAAGAAAAUCAUGAAAUAAAAGUUAAUUUUUAGAGAGAAAAAAUAAUUAAUUGCUAUAGUGACUAAAUUAAAAGCUAUUUUAGAGACUACAAAAAUUUUGGUUUCUAAAUUAGUUUCUAUUUUUGUUAAAUGAUUUUUAAAUUGGUAUCUAAUAAACUACCAAAUUUAGAAUCUAAAUAAUUGGUAGUUAAAACCUUAGUAGCUAAUUAGAUAUCAAUUUAGAAACUAUUUAACAAUAAUAGAAACUAAUUUAGAAAUCAUUUUUUUUUAAUUUUUAAAAUGGUAUCUAGUUUAGUCACUAUAACAACUAAUUAUUUUUUAUCUCUAAAAUUGAUUUUUAUUUCAUGAUUUUCUUGUAAUGUUCGAAGAAUCUAUAAAUAAUUGUUACCUACAAGGACUUACUUAUGAUGACCCUAAAUUAUCUAUAGGUAACUUUGAUUUAGUAUGAAUUCCUUGUAUUAAUUAUCUACAAAUUUCACAGUACGUAAGAAUGAUUUUUCUUAUAGUGUAAAAUCAUUUUAUAUUUUAGUCAUAGAUAAUAAUUGACAAUUAUUUUAAAGAAUAACUUACUUAUCCUCUUUUUAUCAAUACUUGGCAUAUAAAUCAAUACUUGGCAUAUAAAUGAAGAAAGUUAAGUUAUAAUAUUUGCUUUAGACUUUAAUUUGUUGUGGCAUUUAUGAAGGUGCUUAAAAUAAGCUUGUGAAUAUGGAAGAAAUCAUUUAUAUUCCUGUUACUAGGAAAAAAUCUAGUUUUGUCAAACUACUCACUUUUACACUGUUCUAAUUCAUUAAAAAUCCAUUUAUCUAAAUUCAAUUUUUAAUUUGAUCCACAUUUUAUUAUAUUUUCAUAUCAGAUAUCCAUUUUGUUUAUAUAAAUUUUAGAAAUCGGAAAAUCCAAAUUUCCAAUCCAAAUUUUUGAAAGAGACUCUCACUUUAGUGCUCUCUCCAGUUUUUUGUAAUUUUAUUUGCUCUCACACACACUCAUGAAGCAAUAAAGUCUUAUACAUUUUUUUUUAUAAUUUUAUUUGCUCCAAUAUUUUAUACAUAAUAAAUUAAUAUAAUAUUUUCAAAUUUUAAUUAAAGUAUUAUAGGUAGGUGUAUUUUAAUGUUAAGAAUGUAUAUGUUAUGUUUAAUUUAUUUUAGUAUUAUUAAAUUAUAAUUUUAUUAUAUUUUCUUAAUAUUUAUAAUAUUCAACUCUUUUACAUGUUAUUAUAUUAAUAUAUUAAUAUUAUUUUAAUUUUAAAAAAAAUACAUGGAUUUUGAUUUAAAAUACAAUUUACAUUAUUUUUUUUAUAAAAAUAUGGAUUUGGAUAUAAAAUCUAAUUUGGAUUUGAAUUUUCAAAUUGUUUUUAUAAAAAAUAUGGAUUUGGAUUAUAAAUCUGAUUCAAAUAUUUGAAUUUUUUACUCUUCUUUUUUCACAAACAAUUUUUUUUUUCUUCACUUAAAUACGGUAUAGAUUUUCAGUUGUCUUCACGUAUAUACACUUGAGAGGGACCAUAUACAAAAUAUUAUAUACCAAAAAAAUUUAUCAAAAAAUAUAUUUAAAUUUAAAAAAUAUUCUAAGUAAAAUAUAAAUUCAAUGGUUGAUUUUUUACACUCAUUACUUUAGCAAUAACAUAAAAAAAAAUCACCAUUGUUUGUAAUUGUAUAUAAUUAUUUUUUCUGUAUCACUAAUAUUGACUAUCUGUAAUUUUAAUUUUUAGUAUUAUUAAAUUAUUAUUUUAUUAUAUUUUCUUAAUAUUUAUAUGAUAUUAAUUUUUUUUACAUAUUUUUAUAUUAAUAUUGUUAGUUUUUUUAGAAAAUAUAAAUUUAGUUUUAAAAUUCAAUUAAUUCUUUUUAUAAAAAUAUGGAUUUGAAUUUGAUUUGAAUUGGAUUUGGAUUUAUAAAAAUCCAAAUUGAUUUUAUAAAAAAAUAUGGAUUUAGAUUUAAAAUCCAAUCCAAAUAUUUGGAUAUGAAUCAUCUAAAAAUCCAAAUUAAUUUGAUAAAAAAUAUAGAUAUGGAUUUAAAAUCUAUUCCAAAUAUUUGGAUUUGGAUUUGAAUUGGACAAAUAACCACACAAAAGCAAAGUUGGUAGUUUUGAGCUCAACUUUUAAUGUAUAACUCUUUCUAUUUGUCAUUUCCUUCUAGUGUCAAUUCUAUCUUGACACUAUAUAAACCAAUUAUAUAAUAGAGAAAAAACUAAUUUUUUCUAUUUGAAAAGUAGAGUUCAUAGAAGUCAAAUAAAAUAAAUUAAACUAAACAAUUUACCUUAUAGCUGGUUCUCACAAGGUUCAUUAUAACAUGUGGGUGACACAACUGCAUAUCUCAUUGUAGAGCCAUACUUAAGAGUGAUUAGGGUUUUGGUAGCAAAAUGAGGAAAAUCAACAGAAUAGAAGUUUCAAACUAUGUUCAGUCAUGACUUCAAAUUGAGAAUGGUCAACAUUUUACGAAGAAAGGUGAGGAUUGAAAUUCAAAAUUGUGAAGGUAAUGCAUAUGUGGAACGAAAUUCAUAAUGGUAAAGUGAAAUUCUUUUGGAAAAAAAAAAUUAUAUAUGGACAAAGACCUUUAAUUUCUUUUAAAAGAAUAAUUUGUGUGGAAAUGGGCAAAAUACACACGAAGGAAGUAUUUAAGACUUUUUAAUAUAUUCGUAAUUUGACGUCUGAAGGUAUAUCGUCUGAUGUAGUUUUUGGCUUUACAUACACAAUGGAAAAAUAAAAAACUUCUAAAUGUAUAAUGCACUUAAUUAUUACAACAUAACCAAUGGAAAAAAUAAAAAAACUUCCAAAUGUAUAAUUACUUAAUUUUAUUACAACAUAACCAUUAAUUAUUACAACGAUGGAAAAAAUAAAAAGAAACUUCUAAAUCUACAAUGUAGUUAACUAUUAUAAGAUAAUCAAUGAAAAAAAAUUAAAAAUGCACUUUCCUAAAUUAUUCUUUAAACAAUAAUAAGUUUCUUUUCUUUCCUGUGGUAUAGAAAAAGUGAAAAAUAUGACCGCUUUCUGACCGUGGUUGUUCAGCGUGUAGUAUUUUCUCCUCAAACAAAUAAGGUGACUAUUUAAUUGUCAUGUUAUAUUUAAACAAAGAAGGCUGUUAUAGUAAAAGUGGUCGUUUAUAACUUGUCCAUAACUUGUAUAUAUAAUACAUGCAUGAGGUGUAAAAAUACAAUUUCCUAAAUCAUUAUUUAAACGGUAAUAAGUUUCUUUCCUUCCCAAUUAUUACUUCUUUUAUUAAUUACUUUUCCUUUUAUUCAGAUUUUCAUUACUUGUUAUAAGAAAAUUUUAAUAUUCACAUCCUAUUAAAUCAGUUUUAGUCAAAUUGAAAUGAUAAAUCCUAUUAAAUUAGUUUAAGUCAAAAUGAUAAACCCUAUUAAAUCAAUUUUAGUAAAAUUGAAAUGAGCGUAUAUCAAUUUUGUACACGCACAAUAGCUUUCUUCUUCUCCAUUUUCACGCACAUAAAGCUUUAAAGGUGUUCCAUUACACUUAAAAAAAAAUUAUGUUUAUAGUAAAAUGAUUCAGAUAAACACAACAACAAUCACAUAAACAACAGUAAUCACAAAACAAAUUAAUCAAAAACUCAGAAAUUUUAAAAGUUUACCUCGGAAGAAUUACAUCGGAGCAGUGAUGGUGAAGGCACUGACAGCUGAACAUGGUGGAGUAGCGACAGUGAAGGCAUGUUGGAGCUGAAAUGAAGAACAACAAAAAAGGUUAAGAAAAAUAAUAACACAAAGAGAAGAGAAGAGGAGAGAAAGGGAGAAAGAAGAGACAACCGACGAUGACGGAGGCGGGACUGGGUAGCAAAGGGUACUGGAAGGUGGCAACAAAGGUAGUGAGGGCCACAACGGACUUCGAGCUGAAAUGAAAAAGAAAAACAAAAUGAUAACAAAAAUAAGAAAAGAGAAGAAAGAACAAACUGACAGUGAAGAAUGUCGGAGUAGUGACGGCGAGACAGAGAAUGGCAAUGCAAGGCGGGGGGGGGGGGGGUGGCAGCGAGAAAUGCGAACAAUGAGGAUAAGAAAUUAGGUUUCUCAAUUAGCGGAAAGAGGGAAACUGAGGGCGGAGUAGCGAAAUGUGUUAUUUAUAUAGCAUAGUGUAUGUGUCGGCAAUAUUCGACGCAUAGAUGGAAGUGAAUUUUCCGUCGUCUGGCACGCCAACCCCUACGUAUAUAAAAAAUUAAUUUUUUCAAUUCUUUCAAAAAUACAUAAAUCACUAAUUUAAUACAUAUUUAAUUCACCAUUUUCGUAAUAUUUUAAACAUUUAAUUAAAAAUUAAUAAACUCAAAUAAAACUUUAAAAAAGUUAAUUUAAUUUAUACAAAAAAUAAUAAUUUAAUUUAUACAACAAAAAUAAAUAAUUCAAUUAAACUUUGGUUUGGAAAACCAUUUAUCCGUACAAGUGUUGUUUCUAUCUACUAUUAUCUAAAAAUAACCAAUUUAUUAAUGUCUAGACGAAACCAAAAAAUAACUCUUGAGGCACAAUGUUGAGAAAAAAGUUCUCUUUCCGAUGAAACAAUUCCAUCGAAUUAAGUAUAAUUGUAUUUGUGAUAGCAUAUACUAUACCAGGAAUAUCAAUGACCCUUAUUAUUGAAAUUGCUCAGAAUACCUUUUUUUAGCCUUUAAAAUCUAUUUUUUAGUUCAACUCUUACCUUACUAAUUGUAAUAAAAAAAUUAGUACAUAUGCUCCACCCAAAAUGACCGUGGACUAGAAUUAUGAACUUAUAAUCUAAAAUAUGAUGAUGAAGUCCAUUCCAUGAUUUUAAGUUCAUUUUAUACCAAUCAAAUUCAGAUGAAAUUAUAUAUGUUACAUUUGUUAUUGUUGAGAGAGAGAAGUUGAUUUUUUUUUUCAUUUAUUUUAUUGAGAAAAAAAACUUUAUUAAGAGUGUGAGGUAGAAAUGCUUUGAAAAAAUAUGACAUCAUGAAAUCUUCUUUCUUCAUAAAUUCAAGGUAGAUAACUAUCAUGAUAAUCUCAUUUUUAUAUUUUUUUUAUAUUCAAAUUUAGUAUUUAUCCUAAUAUUAUUCCUCUCCAAUACUGAAAAACUCACGGGAAAACAAAUAUACACCCAAAGAGAUUAAGAGCUAGAAAGGCUUUGGUUCGCCGUCAUGGCAAAGAAAGAGUACGGCAGCGACAAGUUUGCAACCGAAGAGUCCUUCAAUAACUUCCAAGACGGAUCACAGGAUUUUACCAAGGUCGUGAUUACGAGUCGAAGAAUUGAAGCUUCCUUCAAUAACAGAGGAUCAGGCUCCCAAGAUCUUAUGGGCCUCAAGAUUCAAUGUGAUUACAAAUCUAUUCUGCACAAUUUUAAUGACGUUUUCCGCUUUUGGAUGACUAACCGUUUCAACUACGUCCAAAACGGAUCCCAGACUUUCCCUGCUUUCACCUUUUUAAAUUACCUGCAACAAACCUUGGCCAACAAGAUGGGAGGUACGUACCUAUAUAUUCAUUUCUCUCCACCAAUAUUUCUUUAAUUUACUUCAUUUAUUGGUCAGAGUUAAGACAAGAGCAAUGCUUUUCUUCUUCCCUUUUAUUACUUCACUUGCUUCUGUUUUACCCUACUUAAAUUGUGUAUCAAGGAUUCUUCCAAAACUAAUUGAGGUUUCAAAAAA
rnacentral:lncRNA from 1 species